UACGUAGGGUCCAAGCGUUAAUCGGAAUUACUGGGCGUAAAGCGUGCGCAGGCGGUUGUGCAAGACCGAUGUGAAAUCCCCGAGCUUAACUUGGGAAUUGCAUUGGUGACUGCACGGCUAGAGUGUGUCAGAGGGGGGUAGGAAUUCCACGUGUAGCAGUGAAAUGCGUAGAGAUGUGGAGGAAUACCGAUGGCGAAGGC
rnacentral:rRNA from 1 species